UACAUAUAUGUACAUACUUACCUAUAUAUGUAUAUAUAUAUGCAUAUAUGGGUACAGGACGUCCCAAAACAUACACAACAUGAAUUACGAAAUAUGUAAACAACAUAAAAUACAAAGGCAAACUUGGGUAUGCGAACAAUGAGAGAAAGAAAUGGAAAACAAGACCAUCUAGUCCACCUUUUGAGAAAUUAACAACAAUAUGAGGCUUCGAAAAACAGUUGCUCCCAUAAACCAAAAUAAAACUAGGGAUUUGAGGAGGGUCAAAGUUGGUAACAAAAACAGGACAGUGGAAACAUACAAGGAAAUCAAAUGAAAACAAAGAUGGAGGGCUGUUAGGCCAGACAAGGUUGAACUAUGUAGAGAAAGAGACCUAGCUGUUUCCUGCAAUACAUACAUUUCAAUGAAACCUUUUCAUGGAUCUUUAAAACACUACUUGUGGAUCCCCAAUUUACUAUUUUGCUAGUGUGGACCUCUGAAAUCCUAGAUGAGCCCCAGUCGAAAACUACUGGUGUAGGUCUAUAGACAGUGACUGUGAAGAAACAAUGAGAGAAAAUAGGGUAAAUUUUUCUGACACUGAAGGUACUGGAACUGCAGAAAAAAAAAAAAAAAAAAAAAAAGAGAAAAACAUGCAAGUUAUUUCAAAACCAUAUGCUUUUCUCCCCUGUUAAAAGAGGAAAAAAAAAUCUAUUGUUUUUAAUGACUAUAGAUUAAUUUUAUAAUGCUGCGUUAUGGCGUGUUGUGGAGCCCAGAACAAGGAUGAAAUAUUACUGUCCACAACUACUGAAAAGUUAAAAAAAUGAAUUAUAUGGAAAUAAUUUAUGCUCUUUUCACUCUCUGAUAAUGAUUUCUCAACAUAAGAAAAAAACAAAAAACCGAGAAGCGAUUCCCUCCCCUUAAGUAGUAGUUCCCAGUGAGAUGACCACAUGAAAGUAAGAAAAUUCUCCAAAAGAGAAAAGCAUUAAUAGAAGGCAACACACGUGCAACAGGCUGUAGUGAUGGCAGUAGUUUGCCAUGAUUGUGGGAGCAUUUCUGGAGAAAUGAUCAUCAAACUAGCUAAAGUAUUUCAUAACCAACUAAAUAUUUGAAUGGUUUGGUUUCAUUGUUUUAACAAGCAACAUCAUGUGAGGUGAGAAGUGUUGAUAAAGUUGUUGAUUAGAAAUUUAGAGCCAAACCUUAAAUAUAUAAAAACAUGACAGAUCAAUAGCCACUACACAUUCUUUUUUUUUUCUCCUUGUUUCUUUCUGUGUAAGUGUGUAGGCUCAAAACGUUAAAGACUUUUUCACUUCCUGAGCAUUAAACUAAUAUAUCUGUUUGUUGUCUACACCAGGGGUUUUCAAACUGUGGUCCCUGGACCACAGGGGGUCUGCAAGGACAAGACAGGGGUUCUGUGGAUAGCAAAUACUUUUUAUGGGCAAUUUGAUUUUAUAUAUGCUUUUUAAUCGAAAUCUUUUAAUUGACAAUAAACCUAUUUGUUAAAUACUGUUAAAUAAAUAGAUGUAAAAAUAUAUAUUUUAAGGAAAUAUUUAUGUAUAAAUUUCAUAAGCGUUUAUAAGGAGGUCCCUAAGGUAAAGCCUGAAAUAUAAAGGGGUCCGCAAGUCAAAAAGUUUGAAAACCCCUGGUCUACACCACCUGUCAUCGUCUUGUUUUUUUUGUGAAUUCUCCCCAUAUAUAAAAACAAACUCUACAAGACAUGUUUCAAUGAUCAAUUUACAAGAAUACUUUGCAACACCAGAAAAGCAUCUAGAAUCCUCUUUGUAGCAUCUCUGCUGCAAAUAUCCUGCUCAAUGACCAAGAUGCAAACCUACUUAAUAGAUUUCAAGAUUUGGCACAAGGCCAGCAAUUUCAGAGGGAGCGGGUAAGUCGAUUACAUCGACUCUGAAAGGAUGAAAGGCAAAGUUGGCCUCAGCAGGAAUUUUAACUCAGAAUGUGGUGAUGGACAAAAUGCCACUAGAUAUUAACUUAACCCUUUAGCAUUUAAACCAGCCAUAUUCGGCCCAAAUAUUCUACUUCCUUUAUGUUCAAACUGGCCUCUCACAUCUAGCCUACAAUGUCAUUUUAAAAAUAAACAAUCUCAGUAGUGAAAUCUCAAAAAUUAUGAGAUAAUACAUGACGAAUUCAAAAUGAUGUGAAUAAGCAUGGAUUACAUUUGACAGAAUAUGAAUGCUAAAAGGUUAAUAUUGAAUGUUAUAUACAUUUUGAAAAUGAUUUACUAUAAAAGAUGGAGUAAAUAAAUUAUUGUUUUUUAUAUAUUUGUUUUACAGGCCUAUUUUUCUUUGCUUUUUUCUACUAAUUUUGUGUCCCAGAAGUAAGUUUGUUAUAAAGAGAUCCAGUAAAUGGAACUAGGUCUAUGCUUAUUAUAUAGUCUAUGAAUUACUUUGCCAUUUUUUAAAACCUCAAGUGUGACUGGUUUAGCAAGUUUCCUAUUUUGGGAGUUGUCUGCUCCCAAAUCACUUGUAUUUGAGAUGUUAAAGCUGAUUGAUUUCACCAACGAUCGGUGCUCAGCCCCCUCUUGUUCAUCAUAGUCUUCCAGGCAAUAACAAAGGAAUUUAAGACAGGCUGCCCCUGGGAGCUCCUCUAGGCUGAUGAUCUUCCUCUUAUAAAGCAAUCACUUCCACAACUAGAGAAGUUCCUGGUAUGGAAACAAGGUCUAAAAUCGAAGGGCCUUGGAGUUAACCUAGCAAAAGCCAAAGUCUUAGUAAGUAAGAAGAUAGACAGAUCACAAAUCUCUUCAGGUAGGUGGCCCUGCACAAGCUAUAGAAAAGGCGUAGGUAGAAAUUUCAUAAGAUGCACCCGGGUAAGCCUUGGCUACAUAAAAAGUGCAGCAAUAUCACAGGAAGGUUAACAGGGAAACUAGCUUUUGUAUGUGGAAGAUGUACAGGUACAAUAAAUGCUGAAAAAGGGCAGAAAAUAGACUCCAUUAACUGCCAGUGAGGCAAACUAGAGGUAGUAGAUAGCUUCCAUUAUUUAGGCGACCAACUUAGUAGUGGAGGGAGCGCUCUGAGAGCAUAGCUGGGAAAAGUUCAGAGAGCUCCUAAUACUGCUGGCAACAAAGGGCCUCUCUCUCAGAAUGAAAGGCAGAUAAUGAUGCCUGUAUGUGAACAACUAUGCUACAUUGCAGUGAAACAUGGGCUGUGACAGCCGAGGACAUGCGUAGGCUUGAAAAAAAUGAAGCCAGUAUGGGCAAUGUCGGGAUGUUGGACAGUGUAAACAUCUUGAGAGACAAGUUAGGCACAAGAGGCAUCAGAGGCGGUGUGCAAGAAAGACGAUUGUGCUGAUAUGGUCAUGUGAUGCGCAUGUACAAGGAGAACUGUGCAUAGAAGUGCUGAUCUGUAACUGUGGAGGGAACCUGUGGUAGAGGAAGACCCAAGAAGACACAGGACGAAGUGGUGAAGCAUGAUCUUUGAACCUCACAGAGGUAAGGACUAGUGACCAAAACCUUUGGCGAUAUGCUGUGCUUAAGACUUGUCAAGCCAAUUGAAAUCGUAGUCAUGACUGAUGUUGGGGUCACAUAACUGGCACUCAUGACAGUGGCACGUAAAGAGCACUGUUGGAGCAUUGGGCCUCAUGGAGGCAAAGUGGCCAAGUUCCUUUCAAGCGUUGGGCCUCACAGAGUCAAACUGUCUGAGUUUCUUUCAAUUGUUGGGCCUCACAGAGGCAAUGACCAAAACCAUUGGCAUUAUGUCGUGCUUGAGAAGAAGACCCAUCAAGCUGAGCAAAAUAGCAGUCAUGACAGAUACUGGUGUCAUGCAAAAGCACCCAUUACACUCUCGGAGUGGUUGACAUUAGGAGGGGCAUCCAACCGUACAAAACCAUGCCAAAUCAGACUGGAGUCUGGUGCAGCCUUCCAGCUUACCAGCCCUAGUCAAACUGCCCAAACCAUGCCAGCAUGGACAACAGACAUUAAAUGAUAAUGAGAUAGAUAUGCAAAUCCAGAAGACAAUUAAUGUUAUAUCCUGAGAAGUUAGUGCUACGCUUAGUGAUCAGAUUACUAGUUUUCUAGGCAGCUGAAGAAUAAGGUUCCAACACUUUUGCUGAGGGAAUAAUCACUGCUGAAACACUGCAAAAGGACAAAUUAUUUUUCUGUUACAUCAAAAUAAUAAUAGUAUAGUUCUAUUUUCAGACUAAGCUACAUCUAUAUACAAAUGAUAACUAGUAAGAGAGAAUGAGUACUGUCAAAAUUCUACAGCCAUUUUCAUGGUAAUAGGUGAUCAAACUACUUUUGUGGUAUCUUGCUUGUCUAUACACAAUGUUUCCAGAAAAGCCUAUUUUAAUGAUUACAGCAUCAACCAGCAGAGUUGUUCCUGUGUUUGCUGAUUACAAUAAUUAAUCAUGUUAAUGAGAAAACGUUUAAAAUGUUCAAAGGAUGUCAUUAUUGACACAACUAAUUCUCUCCACACAAAUGAAAUUUAAGACAUAAAUUUAGACCAGGCCUAGGUCAGCUGUAAGUGAUAUUCCUCUAUACUAGAAGCAAUAUUAUGAAUUAGCUUAACAUUAAGCAUUUAAAUGACAUAUUUUAAAUAGUAUCACAAAAUAAUUGUUUCUUUGGUUUAGCACAAUACAAAUUUUGUUAGAAGGCAAAGUAUAAAUAGGAGUCUAUCCUAUUAUAAUAUAGAGGUGUCUGUUCUAUUCUAAAAACAGAAAAUACAAAAGUAACAUAAAAAUAAACAAGCAAAUUUAAAAAACUUUAUUUAAACAAAGAAGUUAAAAUAGUUUAUUCAUAUUCAGUUUAUUUUAUUUAUUCAAAUAUUUUUUGCACUGAAUUCAGAAGCAAUGCAAUGAAAUAGUUCCCCUUAGAUAUUACUGGUGAUCCAUGAGGAAAGCAAUGAAAUUUCAGAUUAAAAUUUGAAAAUCUUUAGCCUAAUAGACAAAAAUGAAUGCAGUAAUGAGGAAUUGCCCCAACUCCAUUCAAGUUUAUCACGAGAGAUAAUAGGAAUAAUUUAUGAGUUACCAACAACAAAGGCAGAACUGCACAACUAGUUUUCAUUUUCUUCUCUUAAAAUGUAUCUAUUGUUCAUGCUCUCCAAAAUUUGGUAAUUAAAAAAAAAAAAAUUUAAAAAAA